rnacentral:misc_RNA from 1 species
CCCUAGCCGCGAUUGUAGCAAUUGUCUGAGCUCAUUUUAUAUUUUUUGGCGGCGCGGCGGAGCCGCGCCGCCAAAAAAUAUAAAAUAGCAAUUGCGGAAAGCGCGAAAAAGC